rnacentral:piRNA from 1 species
UGGUGUCAGUGACUUGGGAUGAUGCUACCCUU